GUUUCCUAAGUACCUUAACCCGAAAUGGAGCAGCCAGCGAAAGGAGAAACAGGCUCAGAACGCAGACGCCAGGUCUCAGUGCCUCUCAGUGCCCGAGUGCCUGCACUCUCCACCCCGCCACCUCCCAUCCUUCCAGGGUCCCUGGGAAUGAGCAGUCACAGGGCCCAGGAGGCCAGUUCACUCGGACCGGCUGUUCUUUAUUUCUGCAGAAAUAGGACCAUGUGCCUCAGGCUGGCAACCCCCUGGCUUCACUUCCCACUUCACAGGAAAGACAACACCACCAGCUGAUGCAAGCUUUCUGGGAAUACCUGGUUAAUAAAUGCUACCACCAGGAGAGUCGCAUGGUACACGCUGACGACAGUGAUAAACUCUGAGGAUGUUCUCGGAGCUGACCUCGGAGGGGAUUUGGGAGUCUCGUACUCUCUACACCAUGUAUUCAGCCUGUCUUAAAGUAUUUGACCCGGGCACCUGUGGACCUUUAUGCUAGACCACCGCAUCCCGUUCUGCAGAGGACAAUGCCGAGGCCAGCUGGGCAGGCACAGAGCGGCUGCAGGUACUCACUGCUGUCGUAGAUGGCGUCAGACACCACAGGCUCCAGGCGCCGCGUGAAGCUGCCGGUGCUGUCGGGCAGGAAGGCGGUGAACAUGAGCCGCA